GUGGUAAACUCCAUCUAAAGCUAAAUAUCGGGGAGAGACCGAUAGCGAACAAGUACCGUGAGGGAAAGAUGAAAAGCACUUUGGAAAGAGAGUUAAAAGUACGUGAAAUUGUCGAAAGGGAAGCACUUGAAGUCAGCCAUGCUGCUUGAGACUCAGCCUGGCUUUUGCUUGGUGUAUUUCUCGGUAGCAAGCCAGCAUUGGUUUGUGUCGUCGGAGAAGCGUAUGGGGAAUGUGGCAUCCUCGGAUGUGUUAUAGCCCUGUGCAGGAUACGACGACGUAGACCAAGGAACGCAGUGUGCCCUCUGGGCGGGUCUUCGGACACCUUCACACUUAGGAUGCUGGCGUAAUGGCUUUAAGUGGCCCGUCUUGAAACACGGACCAAGGAGUCUAACAUGUGUGCGAGUUUUUGGGUGGCAAACCCAUGAGCGUAAUGAAAGUGAAUGCAGGUGGGAUCCGCAAGGAGCACCAUCGACCGGCCCUGAUGUUCUCGGAUGGGUCUGCGUAAGAGCAUAUAUGUUGGGACCCGAAAGAUGGUGAACUAUGC
rnacentral:rRNA from 1 species